CUUCUGAUGAGGAGAACCUUGUCCAGUUCUGCUACUGAUGUAUCAGAGAUGACAGCUUUGUGUGCUGAAGAAG
ensembl:snoRNA SNORD38A small nucleolar RNA, C/D box 38A